AAAAGAAGGGAGAGAGAACAGAGUUGCAUCUGAGAGACAUGCAGGUCGCAGCAGCAGGUAGAGAUCUUGUUUUCCUUUUUGAGUAGUCAUUUAGUUUCCAAGGUAACUUUAAACCUGCUUUCUCUAAAGAUUUAGUAGAAAUUGCUCAACAGUGUCUCAGUGGGCAUUAAAAAUGAAUAGACUAUCCCAAUCUCAUAACAGGUUCACGGAAAUCUGUAGGAAAUAUGGGCAUAAAAUGCUUAGUUCAACAUGUAGUGUUGUUCUGUUAGAUAAGCAUUAUAAAUUGUGCUACAAGAAACAAAACUGUGGAAAAGAAUUUGCCAACAUAGCUCCAUGCUAUCAUCACCAUGACUCUAUUAAUGUAUUAGCUGAAGAACAAUGACUGGUUGUUCAACAUAUAUGCUGACUGUAGUUCUGCCCAGAGUGGUCAGCUUUUCUCUCAUCACAUCAGAUUCAUUCAUUUCAAUGAUUUCCCCCAUAUCCUGGGGAUCUCAUGUCUUUCACUGCAAGUUGCUUCCACUUAGCUGCUUUGCCAAAAAAAAAAAAAAAAAAAAGCCUAAAUGAUAAAAUGCUGGUGAGUUGUACCAUCUUGUCUUCUUGCUUGUCACUCUGAUCAAAGUUGUUACUGUUCAGUUACUCAGUUACUCAGCUUUCUAGUUAAUUUUUCACCAGAUGAUGACUCAUCUGGUGAUUAUAAAGCUAUUUCAAGCCUAACGUGGAGAUCAACUCCAGAGUUCUGUUAAGCAUAAACAAGUAAACUUUCAAACUUACAAGAAUAGGUUUACUUACAAACAUAUUUGGAGACCAGUCAGGUUGACCAAGCCACGACCACAAAGUGAAAAAAUUGGCAAAUUUUUGCAAAUGGAAAAUAGAAAACAAUACUGAAAUCUUCCCAUCAUAUUCCGACUUGCAAUGUAGUAAUCUGUAGAAGUAAGUCCCUCUAGGCCUUACAAGCCCAGUUUUAGUUUAUCCCAACUUUCGUCAGUUUGCAUGAGUAGCAAUUGUAAAUUGCCAUUUUCAAGUCUGCCCACAGAAGUCAUAUGGGGUGGACUUCUCAAAUAAAGACUUGUUUGUGUGCGCUCUGGGGCAGACUUUCUUCAAGGAACUUUUUGGUAUCUGAAUUCCUUACAUCUUCAGUUCUGACAAGUGUCCGUGUCCCUGACAUUGGCAAUGCACUCACAUAGCUCAAUGCUAUCAUCAUCAUUGAUGUAAUAGCUGAUGAACAGUCCCUUGUUGUUUAACAUAUUUAGUGACUGUAGUUCUGCCCAGAGUGGUCAGCUUUUGUCUCAUCAAAUCAGAGAAUCAUUUUCCCCAUAUCCCAGGGAUCUCAUGUCUUUCACUGCAAGUUGCUUCCACUUAGCUGCUUUACCCAAAAAAAAAAAAAGCCUAAAUAAUAAAAUGCUGGUGAGUUGUACCAUCUCGUCUUCCUGCUUGUCACUCUGAUCAAAAUUGUUACUGUUACUCAGUUUUGGACCAACAAACAACUCUUUGAGGAGUCCUGGUGGUUUCAAAUAUCUGUGAUUUUUACUGAGGUCACUGUGGUCCUGGGAACAGUCAGACCCCUAGUGGUUUAGAACAUUCCUAUAGCAAAAGUAGCAAUAAAACACUAUGAAACAUCUUACUACACAAAAAACUGUGUUAUUGGCAAAUUGCUUUAUUUACUGCUGCAGAUGUUUGAGACUGAGCUCACUAUAAACAUUUUAUAUUCGUUCUAAUCUAUCUAUACAAUCAUAUGCUUGUACUAUGGUUGUCCUGUGAUAAUUACAUACGCCUAUUUAGCACAGAUGAACUAAAAUCAAGUUCUAGAUACGUAUGAAGGGACCCU
ensembl:lncRNA